rnacentral:rRNA from 1 species
CGGGGGGGGCAAGCGUUGUUCGGAAUUACUGGGCGUAAAGGGCUCGUAGGCGGCCAACUAAGUCAGACGUGAGAUCCCCAGGCUCAACCUGGGAACUGCGUCUGAUACUGGUUGGCUUGAAUCCGGGAGAGGGAUGCAGAAUUCCAGGUGUAGCGGUGAAAUGCGUAGAUAUCUGGAGGAAUACCGGUGGCGAAGGCGGCAUCCUGGACCGGCAUUGACGCUGAUGAGCGAAAGCCAGGGGAGCAAACGGGAUUAGAUACCCCGGUAGUCCUGGCCCUAAACGAUGAAUGCUUGGUGUAACGGGUAUCGAUCCCUGUUGUGCCGAAGCUAACGCAUUAAGCAUUCCGCCUGGGGAGUACGGUCGCAAGGCUAG